GUGAACGCCCUCACGGGCUUAUACUAUCCAAACCUCUGUGAACCGUGCCCUUCGGGGCUAUCUUACAAACAUGGUGUAAUGAACGUCAUAUAUCAUAACAAAACA
rnacentral:misc_RNA from 1 species